rnacentral:rRNA from 1 species
GUGAGUCAUCGAGUCUUUGAACGCACAUUGCGCCCUUUGGUAUUCCGAAGGGCAUGCCUGUUCGAGCGUCAUUAUCACCCCUCAAGCCCGGCUUGCUGUUGGUGGUGGCGCGGCCCCCUCCCGGGCCGCCGCCCCGCUCCAAACGAAUAAUGUCGGCGUCUGUGAGGACUCCUGUACACUGAGCUUUCGGGCACGUACACGGUUAGAAAUUCAGACGCCGGUCGCCGCCUUCCCCCCGGGGGAGGCACACCUUUCAUCACCAAGGUUGACCUCGGAUCAGGUAGGGAUACCCGCUGAACUUAAGCAUAUCAAUAAGGCGAGG